AAGUGUUACAGCUCUUUUAGAAUGUGUCUAGCAGGCUUUCUGGUUGUUGCUGGAAAGCCCCC
ensembl:snRNA U7 U7 small nuclear RNA